rnacentral:rRNA from 1 species
AUUGAACGCUGGCGGCAGGCCUAACACAUGCACGUCGAACGCGUGGCAGACGGGUGAGUAAUGUCUGGGAACCUGCCUGAUGGAGAGGGUUAACUCGUGGAACCGGUAGCUAAUACCGCAUACCAUCGGAUGUUCCCAGAUGGGAUGAGCUAGUAGGUGGGGUAACGGCUCACCUAGGCGACGAUCCCUAGCUGGUCUGAGAGGAUGACCAGCCACACUGGAACUGAGACACGGUCCAGACUCCUACGGGAGGCAGCAGUGGGGAAUAUUGCACAAUGGGCGAAAGCCUGAUGCAGCCAUGCCGCGUGAAUGAAGAAGGCCUUCGGGUUGUAAAGUACUGUCAGCGGGGAGGCGGUACCCGAAGAGGAAGCAACGGCUAACUCCGUGCCAGCAGCCGCGGUAAUUC